rnacentral:rRNA from 1 species
UUUGAUCCUGGCUCAGAACGAACGCUGGCGGCAGGCUUAACACAUGCAAGUCGAGCGCCUCGCAAGAGGAGCGGCAGACGGGUGAGUAACGCGUGGGAAUCUACCCAUCUCUACGGAACAACUCCGGGAAACUGGAGCUAAUACCGUAUACGUCCUUCGGGAGAAAGAUUUAUCGGAGAUGGAUGAGCCCGCGUUGGAUUAGCUAGUUGGUGGGGUAAUGGCCUACCAAGGCGACGAUCCAUAGCUGGUCUGAGAGGAUGAUCAGCCACACUGGGACUGAGACACGGCCCAGACUCCUACGGGAGGCAGCAGUGGGGAAUAUUGGACAAUGGGCGCAAGCCUGAUCCAGCCAUGCCGCGUGAGUGAUGAAGGCCCUAGGGUUGUAAAGCUCUUUCAACGGUGAAGAUAAUGACGGUAACCGUAGAAGAAGCCCCGGCU